AGGAUGAACGCUGGCGGCGUGCCUAAUACAUGCAAGUCGAGCGGUAAGGCCCCUUCGGGGGUACACGAGCGGCGGACGGCUGAGUAACACGUAGGAACGUACCCCAAACUGAGGGAUAAGCACCAGAAAUGGUGUCUAAUACCGCAUGUGGUCUUCGGAUUAAAGCUUCGGCGGUUUGGGAACGGCCUGCGCAUGAUUAGCUUGUUGGUGAGGUAAAAGCUUACCAAGGCGACGAUCAUUAGCUGGUCUGAGAGGAUGAUCAGCCAGACUGGGACUGAGAACGGCCCAGACUCCUACGGGAGGCAGCAGUAGGGAAUUUUCCACAAUGGGCGAAAGCCUGACGGAGCAACGCCGCGUGCAGGACGAAGGCCUUCGGGUUGUAAACUGCUUUUAUAUGUGAAGAUUAUGACGGUAGCAUAUGAAUAAGGAUCGGCUAACUCCGCGCCAGCAGCCGC
rnacentral:rRNA from 1 species